rnacentral:tRNA from 2 species
GGGGUCAUAGCUCAGUUGGUAGAGCGUUUGAAUGGCAUUCAAAAGGUCCGGGGUUCGAUUCCCCGUGGCUCCACCA